AGGAGUGUAGCUCAGUUGGUAGAGCAUCGGUCUCCAAAACCGAGGGCCGGGGGUUCGAGCCCCUCCACUCCUGCCA
rnacentral:tRNA from 10 species